rnacentral:rRNA from 1 species
GGGGGUAAACGGACAGAGCCCGCGAAUCCGGGCGCGCGGAAUUCAGAAUCGAUGACGGGUCGCGUGCGCUUCGCGGCGUCCGCGCUCUCGUCGAUUCGAUUUUUCCGCCGCCGACCCUCCACCGAGGGUGUCGGACAUCGCGACCCGUUCGCCACGUCGAUGCGCGGGAGUUCGGUAAAGUUCGUAUUCGUCGUCGUUUCGGCGGCGGCGAGACGAUUCCGAGCCUUCCCCUAUUUUUUCGACGCGGACGGUAAGAUUGUACGUGGGCGGUCGCCGCGGUCGACGCUCGGUCUCUCGUAGGCCGAGUGGUACUCGCGGCGACGCCUGUCAGCGAUGACUUUUCGGGCCUCUUUCCGACCCGUCUUGAAACACGGACCAAGGAGUCUAGCGUGCACGCGAGUCGCGGGGUAUCCGAGACGUCGUAGUCGUUCGCGCGACGAAUGCGUCUCGAUACGGUACGAAACCCGUGUACGUGCAUUGUGCUAAGGCGAAAUGAAAGUGAAAAGCGACGCUUCGCGCGUCGCUGAGGGAAGAUGAUGUUCCGCGUACGCGUUUCGCGGUCGUACAUGUACCGCGGCCGGACAUCCGCAUUCCCAGGGCGUCUCGCACGUACGUCGGCGGUCGAGGCGUUCGCGCGCUUCGGUCGUCGGCGAACUGGGGCGCACCUAUAGCGUGCACGCUGGUACCCGAAAGAUGGUGAACUAUGCCUGGCCAGGAUGAAGUCAGGGGAAACCCUGAUGGAGGUCCGCAGCGAUUCUGACGUGCAAAUCGAUCGUCUGAGCUGGGUAUAGGGGCGAAAGACUAAUCGAACCAUCUAGUA